ACGUAGGUCCCAGGGUCUGUUGUUCCUUCUUUGUGUCUGUAAUGUACUCAGUGUUCAGCUCCCACUUAAGAAAACAGAUUCAGAGCGUCUGUGAUGAACAUCUCUGGCUCCAGAGAAGGUACAUUUUGAACCAAGCGGGAAUGUCAGGGUUAGAGAGCAUCAAGUUCAAUGCUGAGGUAGGGUCUGGGAUUCUGCAAUUCUCACAGACCCGUAGGCAUUGCUGAUGCUGCUGGUUCCUGAGUCACAGGUUUCUUGAGAGACUAAACAUACAAAUGGACAAUGGCCAGACCAUGUGUAACAAUAAAACUCUGAUGGACAAUCUCUGGCAGCCAGCCCAGAACGAUCAGGACUUGUUCAAUGACUGCGAGCUAGCUUCCCCCUUUUUAACCCUCUUACCUGCUUCCAACUCAAGACUAACAACAGAACCCCAAAGACGCUGCUCCCCAAAGCAAUCAUGUAAGAUGCCUCACUGCUUGUUAGUGCACCUCCUGCUUCAUUGUGCCAACAACCUCCAGGCAGAAGAUAGCAGAAGCCUUCUUUUCCCUGCUUAUAAAGCUUUUUUACUCCCCUGCCUGUCUUUGAGACUUUGCUAAAUUCCAAGGAUGGUGGCUGAUCCUCUUGCUUUAUCAUGCAAAUAAAUUGCUUCUGUUUGUUCUCA